UACGUAGGGGGCUAGCGUUGUCCGGAAUCAUUGGGCGUAAAGAGCGCGUAGGCGGCCAGAUAAGUCCGGUGUGAAAGUCACAGGCUCAACCUGUGAAUGCCGCUGGAAACUGUUUGGCUAGAGUCCGGAAGGGGCGAGUGGAAUUCCUGGUGUAGCGGUGAAAUGCGCAGAUAUCAGGAGGAACACCAAUGGCGAAGGCAGCUCGCUGGGACGGUACUGACGCUGAGGCGCAAAAGCGUGGGGAGCAAACAGG
rnacentral:rRNA from 1 species